GAACGGUGGAGUGAGAGGUGGAGACGGGGAAGGAGAAGAGAAACGUAAAAACAGGAGAGAGUAGCCUACCAAAGAGACGGAGCAUUUUUAUUUGUGUUCUCUCGUUGACCCCGAGUUUUCAGAGGCUGGCCAGAAAAGGCUGCGCGGAGCAGGGCACUAAACCCCUCCCUGAUACACACUGAGGUAUAUGUGUGUCUUUGGUUCCAACCGAGAUUUUACGCUCAACUACCAGCGGAGGCGAACUGCUGGAGCCAUCAAGAACGGGCCUACAGAGUGGCAGACACGCACGACGCACCCAUAGAACCGGGGGAUGCGGCACGAGGCGUGGGUCCGGCGAUCCGUCCGUCGGUCAGAGACCCGAGCGGAACGGAAACCCUCGCGCCGCGGCUCGUGUGAGUUUUAUUCGGUAUUGAAAACACCGUUUCCCACCCGCGUGUAGCUGCUCUUGUGCACCACAGCAUGUAAAAGAAUAAAUCGGAAAGCGUCCUUAAAUGCGACAAACUAAGAAAAAAACCUUUUUACACAUGCUUUAAAAUAAAAGCGUCGCUAAGGUUAUAUACUUUUUUCCUCCUUGCCUUUUCAAUCUCUCGCAUAUGCAUCAGAUAUCUACUUUAAUGCAGCGAGACUAGUGGGUGAGCUGCGGGGUGGACGGCUCCGUGGGCCGGUCCUAACCCCACCCAGAGCUCAUUGGAACGGUAAGGAGACCCUCUCGGCCUGCUUACAACACAUAAUACCACAUGCUUCAUUGGUAGUUUUUUUUUUUCUAUUUAUUGCUUUGAUAUAUAGAUUUUUUUUUUGUUGUAUAUUUAACUAAAUAAUGAAUGUACUUACAAUCUGUAGAUAUCUAUGCUUAUAUUCUUCUGGAAAAGCCCCCCGGGUCGUCUUUCUGAAAUCACCCACCUCCGAAAAUAAAACUAUUUAUGGUUUUAUUGUUUAUUCUUAUGUGACAUUCUGAGACAAUAAUGUUGAGAUACAUUGAUAUAGUUCUAUAUAUUGAUAUACUGUAGCUGGGUCGCUAACCCCCAACGGUUAAAGGUAGGUCUGUUUCUGUCUCUGAUUUUAUUUUACUAUCUUUUAUUAUAUGACAAGAUAACAUGACAUUUCGCGUCCAAAAGACGACUGCAGACAAAGA
rnacentral:lncRNA from 1 species